rnacentral:rRNA from 1 species
AUUGAACGCUGGCGGCAGGCCUAACACAUGCAAGUCGAACGAGUGGCGGACGGGUGAGUAAUGUCUGGGAAACUGCCCGAUGGAGGGGGAUAACUACUGGAAACGGUAGCUAAUACCGCAUACCAUCGGAUGUGCCCAGAUGGGAUUAGCUAGUAGGUGGGGUAACGGCUCACCUAGGCGACGAUCCCUAGCUGGUCUGAGAGGAUGACCAGCCACACUGGAACUGAGACACGGGCCAGAUUCCUAAGGGAGGGAGCAGGGGGGAAAUGUGCAAAAUGGGCGGAAGCCUUAUGCAGCCAUGCCGCGUGUAUGAAGAAGGCCUUCGGGUUGUAAAGUUCUUUCAGCGAGGAGGCGUUACUCGCAGAAGAAGCACCGGCUAACUCCGUGCCAGCCGCCGCGGUAAGUAC